CGGACGGGUGAGUAAUGUCUGGGAAACUGCCUGAUGGAGGGGGAUAACUACUGGAAACGGUAGCUAAUACCGCAUAACGUCGCAAGACCAAAGAGGGGGACCUUGGGCCUCUUGCCAUCGGAUGUGCCCAGAUGGGAUUAGCUAGUAGGUGGGGUAACGGCUCACCUAGGCGACGAUCCCUAGCUGGUCUGAGAGGAUGACCAGCCACACUGGAACUGAGACACGGUCCAG
rnacentral:rRNA from 1 species